UACGAAGGGGGCUAGCGUUGUUCGGAAUCACUGGGCGUAAAGGGCGCGUAGGCGGCUUUGUAAGUCGGGGGUGAAGCCUGUGGCUCAACCACAGAAUUGCCUUCGAUACUGCAUGGCUUGAGACCGGAAGAGGUUAGUGGAACUGCGAGUGUAGAGGGUGAAAUUCGUAGAUAUUCGCAAGAACACCAGUGGCGAAGGCGGCUGACUGGUCCCGGAUCUACGCUGAGGCGCGG
rnacentral:rRNA from 1 species